UACAGAGGUCUCAAGCGUUGUUCGGAUUCAUUGGGCGUAAAGGGUGUGUAGGUGGCGCCGUAAGUCGGGUGUGAAAUUUCGGAGCUUUACUCCGAAACUGCAUUCGAUACUGCGGUGCUUGAGGACUGGAGAGGAGACUGGAAUUCAUGGUGUAGCAGUGAAAUGCGUAGAUAUUAGGAAGAACACCAGUGGCGAAGGCGGCUCACUGGCCCGGUACUGACGCUGAGGCGCGAAAGCGUGGGGAGCAAACAGG
rnacentral:rRNA from 1 species